CCUACGGGUCGCACCAGUGGGGAAUAUUGGACAAUGGGCGAAAGCCUGAUCCAGCAACGCCGCGUGUGUGAAGAAGGUCUUCGGAUUGUAAAGCACUUUCGACGGGGACGAUGAUGACGGUACCCGUAGAAGAAGCCCCGGCUAACUUCGUGCCAGCAGCCGCGGUAAUACGAAGGGGGCUAGCGUUGCUCGGAAUGACUGGGCGUAAAGGGCGCGUAGGCGGUUUAUGCAGUCAGAUGUGAAAUCCCCGGGCUUAUCCUGGGAACUGCAUUUGAGACGCAUAGACUAGAGGUCGAGUGAGGGUUGUGGAAUUCCCAGUGUAGAGGUGAAAUUCGUAGAUAUUGGGAAGAACAUCGGUGGCGAAGGCGGCAACCUGGCUCGAUACUGACGCUGAGGCGCGAAAGCGUGGGGAGCAAACAGGAUUAGAUACCCCAGUAGUC
rnacentral:rRNA from 1 species